UACGAAGGGGGCUAGCGUUGUUCGGAAUUACUGGGCGUAAAGCGCGCGCAGGCGGUCUUCCCAAGUCAGUGGUGAAAGCCCGGAGCUCAACUCCGGAACUGCCAUUGAAACUGUUAGACUUGAGGGAUGAGAGAGGUGAGUGGAAUUCCCAGUGUAGAGGUGAAAUUCGUAGAUAGUUGGGAAGAACACCGGUGGCGAAGGCGGGUCUCUGGGCCGAUACUGACGCUGAG
rnacentral:rRNA from 1 species